rnacentral:rRNA from 1 species
GACGAACGCUGGCGGCGUGCUUAACACAUGCAAGUCGAACGGAAAGGCCCUGCUUUUGUGGGGUGCUCGAGUGGCGAACGGGUGAGUAACACGUGAGUAACCUGCCCUUGACUUUGGGAUAACUUCAGGAAACUGGGGCUAAUACCGGAUAGGAGCUCCUGCUGCAUGGUGGGGGUUGGAAAGUUUCGGCGGUUGGGGAUGGACUCGCGGCUUAUCAGCUUGUUGGUGGGGUAGUGGCUUACCAAGGCUUUAACGGGUAGCCGGCCUGAGAGGGUGACCGGCCACAUUGGGACUGAGAUACGGCCCAGACUCCUACGGGAGGCAGCAGUGGGGAAUAUUGCACAAUGGGCGGAAGCCUGAUGCAGCAACGCCGCGUGCGGGAUGACGGCCUUCGGGUUGUAAACCGCUUUCGCCUGUGACGAAGCGUGAGUGACGGUAAUGGGUAAAGAAGCACCGGCUAACUUCGUG